CUGGAUCAGUUUUGUCUGAUCCCGUUGAAGCACCUGAGGAAGAGGCAAGGGUGCACCAAACAGACACUGCUACGCCUUUGACUGCACAUCACAGAGGUGCUUCCCGUUCCACGUCGAGGGUCAGCAGCGCAGAGGACAUUGCACAAACCCAGCGAAAGAUUGAGGGACACCUUGCAGCACUAGUCGACAUAUUGGGCAGGAUUUUAGCCAUCCAAGAGUACAAAUAUGGUGUAAAGACGCUUCCUGCAGGAGCUGCCCAAGUAAACAACAGAAACAUAGAUGAAAAUGUUACAUUGU